rnacentral:rRNA from 1 species
ACGGAAGGCAGCAGUGGGGAAUAUUGGACAAUGGGGGGAACCCUGAUCCAGCGACGCCGCGUGAGUGAAGAAGUAUUUCGGUAUGUAAAGCUCUAUCAGCAGGGAAGAUGAUGACGGUACCUGACUAAGAAGCACCGGCUAAAUACGUGCCAGCAGCCGCGGUAAUACGUAUGGUGCAAGCGUUAUCCGGAUUUACUGGGUGUAAAGGGAGCGUAGACGGCAUGGCAAGCCAGAUGUGAAAGGCAGGGGCUCAACUCCUGGACUGCAUUUGGAACUGUCAAGCUAGAGUAUCGGAGAGGUAAGUGGAAUUCCUAGUGUAGCGGUGAAAUGCGUAGAUAUUAGGAGGAACACCAGUGGCGAAGGCGGCUUGCUGGACGAUAACUGACGUUGAGGCUCGAAAGCGUGGGGAGCAAACAGGAUUAGAUACCCUGGUA